rnacentral:lncRNA from 1 species
ACACCAUUACAGAUAUGGUAGAAGGAAGAGUCUCACAGUGGUUUCCAAGUGUGGUCCCCGGACCUGCAGCAUCAACAUCACCUGGAAACCCAUUAGAAAAGCAAACCCAGCUGUGGGCCCAGCAAGUUGUAGUUUAACAAGCCCUUCAGGUGAUUCUGAUGCACUCUCAGGAUUGAAAAGCACUGGUCUGGGAAAGACACAGUCUCCUCAGACCUGAAUGUCACAUCAUUCCAGGUGUAUACUUUGGGAGGUACACAGACCCACUGUAGCACCUUCAGAUGGUGAGAAGGAAGGCCAAUUAAAAGAAUGUCCAAAGAAAGGAGUACUCAUCAUGAGAUAAAACACCAGCAGAGGAAUGAAAGCUGCUUCAAACAAUGGCAACUCGUUCAAAGGCACACAGCUAAGGGUCAGCAGCAACACACUGCACUCCUGACUCCUGCUCUGAUACUUGCCUCACUGGAACCGUCAUCCCCUCUCAUGUGGCAAAUGCAGCUGGGUAUGUGGUCAGUGCAACCUGUACUUCUACAGCCACCAGCCUGCAGGCUGGACCCCAUUAGAGUGAGGAACGGAACCCCUGCUAGCCAGCCUCAGGUGACAAAACUGAGGCUCAGAGGCCAAUGGCCUUGUUCAAGGUCACACGCCCACUAAAUGAGAGACCCGGAGACCUGGCAUCA